rnacentral:rRNA from 1 species
CAGCCGCCGCGGGAACACCGGCAGCUCUAGUGGUAGCUGUUUUAUUGGGCCUAAAGCGUUCGUAGCCGGUUUGAUAAGUCACUGGUGAAAUCCUGUAGCUUAACUGUGGGAAUUGCUGGUGAUACUGUUGAACUUGAGGUCGGGAGAGGUUAGCGGUACUCCCAGGGUAGAGGUGAAAUUCUGUAAUCCUGGGAGGACCACCUGUGGCGAAGGCGGCUAACUGGAACGAACCUGACGGUGAGGGACGAAAGCUAGGGGCGCGAACCGGAUUAGAUACCCGGGUAGUCCUAGCCGUAAACGAUGCGGACUUGGUGUUGGGAUGGCUUUGAGCCGCUCCGGUGCCGAAGGGAAGCUGUUAAGUCCGCCGCCUGGGAAGUACGGUCGCAAGACGUGAAACUUAAAGGAAUUGGCGGGGGAGCACCACAACGCGUGGAGCCUGCGGUUUAAUUGGAUUCAACGCCGGACAUCUCACCAGGAGCGACAGCUGUAUGAUUACCAGGCUGAUGGCCUUGUUUGACUAGCUGAGGAGUGGUGCAUGG